UACAGAGGUCUCAAGCGUUGUUCGGAUUCAUUGGGCGUAAAGGGUGCGUAGGUGGCGUCGUAAGUCGGGUGUGAAAUUUCGGAGCUUAACUCCGAAACUGCAUUCGAUACUGCGGUGCUUGAGGACUGGAGAGGAGACUGGAAUUUACGGUGUAGCAGUGAAAUGCGUAGAGAUCGUAAGGAAGACCAGUGGCGAAGGCGGGUCUCUGGACAGUUCCUGACGCUGAGGCACGAAGGCCAGGGGAGCAAACGGG
rnacentral:rRNA from 1 species